rnacentral:lncRNA from 1 species
CUCCCACAUAGACAAGCCUUUUAUAUUAAAUAUAUUUCACAAUUUAGAUACACAAAACAGAUGUUAAUCUGAAAAUGAAACAAGCAGAUGAAACAUAACUAAUACACAUAACAUUCAUAUAGAUUAUUAAGACAAAAUAUACAGGAAAAGAAAGUUUGUUUGAUGAUCAAGAAUAAACACAGUAACAUCCUUAUUGACAUUUUACAUUCAUUGUGUUUGCUGAUACUUUUACAAAGAAAGGAAAAUACGAGCAAUAAAGGAGAAUAUAUUUCAACCUACAAUUUCUCUCACAAAAUGUAUAAAACCGAAGAGGUGUCAUAUUACUAAUGAUUAACACACCUGUAGAAGGUGAUGGUGCUGAACUAUGGCUGAGAUGGCAUCUCAAUGCAUUUCUACAGGUUCACUGCAUUCCUUUGCACCAUCUCUUCACAUGAAUCAGCUAUUGCCUGGACAGUUAAUCUAAGACAAGUCUAUGCCUAACCAUGUUCAAUGGAGAGCUAUUCUGUAGGUUUUCAGUCCCAACACUAAUUUAAUUACACCUGAUUCAACUUACUGCCUGCUCACCAACACAUUAACGAGCUAAAUAGGGUAUGUUAGGUUAGGGUCGGAGCAAAAACCUGCAGGAGGGUAGCUCUCCAGCAACAGGGAUGGGCAGCCCUGAUCUAAGAAUACCAUUGUAUAACCUCUAAAUAAUCUCUAAAACGUUUAUAACCACUCACACUCUUCAGGAUUGCUCUGAGCAACAUGAGCUGAGGUGUGUGGUUGUUCAAGUAGAAGCUGCGAUCUGAAUCGAAGAAAUAUAACCCCCACAUAGAAUAGGUUACUUAAGGACAAAGUGUCUGGUCUGCAGUUGCUGUGUUGAUGAUAGGCCAAAACUGUGCUGGCCAAAGUGCUAUAACUUAGUUAUAAUUGACCAAAAAAAUAGCCUCUCUCCCUAUCGGUCUCUCUCUCUCUCUAUCUCUCUCUCUCUAGCUCUCUCUCACUAUCGCUCUCUCUCUGUCUCAAGCUCUCUCUCACUAUCUCUCUCUCUCUGUCUCUCUCUCUCUCUCACUAUCUAUCUCUCUCUCUCUGUCUCUCUCACUUUGUGUCUCCUUGCUUCUCUUACGUUCCCUGCAUAUCUGCCUCUUUCUGCCCCUCUCUCUUCCACAGUGGUAAUAAUAAUAACUAGCCCACAUGCUGUACUCCCUAUUCCAACAUCUCACCUCGUUCAAACGUCAAAUGUGAUCCUUCAGAAUAUGGAAUAUGUCUUUUGUGAAUUAAUCUUUUACAUCAUUACCUCAUCAUGCAUUUAUAACAAUCAUAAUAAUAGCCUAGUAAUAACAAUAAUAAACAGAUGCAAUUUUGUUUUUAUUUGUGUGUGUGUGUGUGUGUGUGUGUGUGUGUGUGUGUGUGUGUGUGUGUGUGUGUGUGAGUAAACAGACCUGGGGGUGGGGCUUUGACUAAAUAAGAAAUGAUUGGCAUAUACCCGAAUGUAGCCAAUCGCUGAUAGUCAAAAAAACAAAAAAAACCAACAGGCUGGUCAACAGGCUGAUCAACAGGCUGGUCAACAGGCUGGUCAACAGGCUGAUCAACAGGCUGGUCAACAGGCUGGUCAACAGGCUGGUCAACAGGCUGGUCAACAGGCUGAUCAACAGGCUGGUCAACAGGCUGGUCAACAGGCUGGUCAACAGGCUGGUCAACAGGCUGAUCAACAGGCUGGUCAACAGGCUGGUCAACAGGCUGGUCAACAGGCUGGUCAACAGGCUGACCAACAGGCUGGUCAACAGGCUGGCCAACAGGCUGGUCAACAGGCUGACCAACAGGCUGGUCAACAGGCUGGUCAACAGGCUGGUCAACAGGCUGGUCAACAGGCUGGUCAACAGGCUGGUCAACAGGCUGACCAACAGGCUGGUCAACAGGCUGAUCAACAGGCUGGUCAACAGGCUGAUCAACAGGCUGGUCAACAGGCUGGUCAACAGGCUGACCAACAGGCUGGUCAACAGGCUGGUCAACAGGCUGACCAACAGGCUGGUCAACAGGCUGGUCAACAGGCUGACCAACAGGCUGGUCAACAGGUUGAACUGCGUCCCAAAUGUCAUCCUAUCCCUUAGUGCACUACUUUUGAUGGCUCUAGUCAAAAGUAGUGCACUUGCAAGGGAAUAGGGGACGCUGAUAUGAAGAGCUCUGGACUGAGAAGAUAAGUAGUCCUAGAGCUCUGCUAUUGGUGGACUGAGAAGAUAAGUAGUCCUAGAGCUCUGCUGUUGGUGGACUGAGAAGAUAAGUAGUCCUAGAGCUCUGCUAUUGGUGGACUGAGAAGAUAAGUAGUCCUAGAGCUCUGCUGUUGGUGGACUCAGAAGAUAAGUAGUCCUAGAGCUCUGCUAUUGGUGGACUGAGAAGAUAAGUAGUCCUAGAGCUCUGCUAUUGGUGGACUGAGAAGAUAAGUAGUCCUAGAGCUCUGCUAUUGGUGGACUGAGAAGAUAAGUAGUCCUAGAGCUCUGCUAUUGGUGGACUGAGAAGAUAAGUAGUCCUAGAGCUCUGCUGUUGGUCCCAAGCCCGACGGGCCCCAGCAUUAUACAUCGGGUUAGGGCCGGGUAAGGCCUUUUUUUUUUUUUCAUCAAUAACUAGGGUACUGGUACGGCUCGGGUAUCAUUAAAUGAUCAUUAAAAUGUUGAAGGUGAGCCAUUUGCGCGUGCUCUGCUGCGCAGUACAGUCAUAUCUGACUAAGAUCAUAACAUGGUGUUAGAAGUGCUUCAACAUUGUCAAAUAUAAAACAGGAGAGAUUAUUUGACAGAAAAUAAUAAUGUUCCUUGAGUGAAAAUUAGCUAACAGCUAACAGCCCUCUCAUAUCUCGUCAUUGAGCAGCCCAAGAGGAGCCGUCGCUAUGGUUACUCACAGACUCAGAGCGCAUGCAGAGCGAGCUGUGUGCAGGGAGCGAGUGACAGACAGAGCAGCUAAUGGAUUUACUAACAGAGGAAGUGAUUUCAGAUUUUGGGCUUCGUGCAUGAAUGGGCCUUAAAUUUGGCAGAAGCAAUUGGGCCUGGGCAGGGUAGGGCCUGAAUGUUGCCUGGCAUUGGUAGAGCUCUGGUUUAAAAUGCAUGCCCGCGCAGGGCUCAAAGUAGUCCUACGGAACCUGAAAUAUAUUCAGACACAAUCAGAGAACAUUCAAAGAUUUACAUUCAAUGACAGGCAGUCAGAGAACAUUCAAACACUUAGAUUCAUUGACAGGCAGUCAGAGAACAUUCAAAGAUUUACAUUCAUUGACAAUAACACUGCUAGUAUACUCAUACAUAGAUAGCCUGAAUACAUUCAUAGGAAAAACAUACUUGAGAGACAUUAUUUUAGAUUGUACUAGCUACAGAUGACAGUCAGACAGUGAGAGGGACAGAACAAAGACAGAUUCAGUGCAGGGUUGGGCGUAGUUUCAUUCUCAACUCAAGGGGUUGAAUUUUGUCCGUUUCAAUUUCAAAUUCAAACCUUGAAUUGUUCAACGCUUGAAUUUAUUUUCUAUAAGAAUUCCUCAUUUCAUGAAUGGACGGAACAGACCCCUUUGCCUAACUGGAGAGGUACACGUACAUUCAUAGUGUGGUCAUUGAGACAUUCCUAGACGUGUGCACAAAGAGACAUUACAGACAUACUGUUCAGAUAGUAGACAUUCAUAGGAUAAGACAUUCAUGUCAUACAGUCUCAAUAGACAUCAAUCAAAUGUAUAAACCUGUGUAGUAUUCUACAACUAUCAUACACACAACUGUCGGUGGUCAAAUAGGCCACGUCCUAAAAGGCACCCCUAUUCCCUACACAGUGCACUACUUUUGACCAGAUCCCCUAUGGGCCCUAAAUACAGUAGGUGCACUAAAUAGGGAAUAGGGUGCAGUUUUGGACACAAACAUAUUCUCUAUCCUCACAAUGACCUAGAUUCACAGUGAGGAGCCUUUCCAGAAAGCAGGAUUAAAUUAGUGAGCUAACUUUGACAAACAGUCAGAUAUCUCGCUUAAUUUUCAGGUAAAUAUUGGGGGGUUUUCUGUUUCAUUUUGAAAGCUAAACUUCAAUAUGUGUUGGUGGUUGUCAAGUCAAUUACAACAUGCUAAUUUCAACUCUCUCUCUCUCUCUCUCUCUCUACAUAUAUAUAUUCAAAACAAAUGCAAUGUCAUUUCUUGAAUAUUUAGGACAGUUCAGGCUAACUCAAUGAUCCUGCUUCCUGCUUCCUGGAAUAGCCCCUUGUACUCAACCCUUUAUUUUUCUUCAAUCUUCCCUCCUUAUCACUUACCCUCCUUAUCACUUACCCUCCUUAUCACUUACCCUCCUUAUCACUUACCCUCCUUAUCACUUACCCUCCUUAUCUCUU